CCUACGGGAGGCAGCAGUGGGGGAUAUUGCACAAUGGGGGGAACCCUGAUGCAGCGACGCCGCGUGAGUGAGGAAGUAUCUCGGUAUGUAAAGCUCUAUCAGCGGGGAAGAAAGAGGACGGUACCCGACUAAGAAGCCCCGGCUAACUACGUGCCAGCAGCCGCGGUAAUACGUAGGGGGCGAGCGUUAUCCGGAUUUACUGGGCGUAAAGGGUGCGUAGGUGGUUUCUUAAGUCAGAGGUGAAAGGCUACGGCUCAACCGUAGUAAGCCUUUGAAACUGGGAAACUUGAGUGCAGGAGAGGAGAGUGGAAUUCCUAGUGUAGCGGUGAAAUGCGUAGAUAUUAGGAGGAACACCAGUUGCGAAGGCGGCUCUCUGGACUGUAACUGACACUGAGGCACGAAAGCGUGGGGAGCAAACAGGAUUAGAUACCCGAGUAGUC
rnacentral:rRNA from 1 species